GCAUCGGUGGUUCAGUGGUAGAAUGCUCGCCUGUCACGCCCGGGUUCGAUUCCCGGCCGAUGCA
rnacentral:tRNA from 1 species